AUAUCUUCUCAGCCUUUUGGCUAAGAUCAAGUGUAGUGUUUGUAUAUCUGAUGCUUCGUCUAUCCAAGGACAAUCUGUUAAAUGGAUUUUUGGAGCAGGGAGAUUGAAUAGCUCCUUGCUCCAUCUAUUCCAUGCAUUGACCUGGUAGUGCAGUACCUCCAGGAACUAUGCACCCCUU
ensembl:snRNA U2 U2 spliceosomal RNA